CUCUCUAUGUGUUUUCACAGAAACCCAGGCCCAGGGAGAACAUUUACCCCUCUUCCUACAUUUCAGAGCUGAAAAUGUCGGAAUUGUCAUGGUAAUGCCCAUAGUUGAUGUGACAGAUACUGAGAAGGAAAAACACGCUUGCCACAUGUGAAAACUGCCUGGUUGGUUCUGCUCUGAGUGCCUCUCUGGAGGGCACAUUGAUGGAUUUGACAAUCACUUAAUUCUACUAGAGCCUGACCUUCAGUCUGGAAGUCAGAUAUACGCAGCAGAGACGUAGAUGAUAGCCGCAGGCUGCUGCUGGUGGGAAGCUGACAGAGUCCACUUUAAAGGACUGCCUUCAGUACCAUCUACAUUCUUCUACCUGGGACUGUGUGUGGCCAUGCGGACAGGCUCUCACCUUCACUAAACAAUUCAACUGCUGAAUUCCAACUAUCACGACAACCAUUUACACCAGUAAAAUGAACCAGAGAAGUCAGUGUAUCAGAACCUAAGACGGGAAAACUCUAUUGGAUUUCCUUUUACCUUAACUCUUAGUCCCUGCUUGCAGCUGAACCUCGGAGAGCAAUCAGCAUUCAAUGUUCUGUAGUAUAAGGAUCCUCCAGCAGAUCAUCUCUAGAGCUAGCUCUGACUUCUGCUCCCAGAGUCACCAUGGUGGUUAAGUAUGAAUUUGAUGGUCAUCUGGAAUCAGAUGCCGUUUCCAGCAGUUCUUCUAAGAAAAUAAAACUGAACAUUUACAGCCUCAAAAGUGAUAAAUCUCACUCUCUCCUCAUGGCUGCAAUUCCUCCGUGGUUCCGGCUGAUUUGAACCUCUCUCCAUCUCUGUGCUCCUUUCCCUGGCUGGUGGAAGUUCUGCCCCAUUCCCUUUUCUGCCCAGCCAUUGGGUGAUCGUCAUUUAUUGACAAGGCAGAGAAUAAAUGAAUUUAGUGGAAAAAGUGGGGACUCUACCGAACCUUAAAACAGACCCAGCUUUCCUCCUUCCUGUGGAUGCUCUCCACCUCUCACUGGAGCCUCCAUGUCAGCCACCUAUUCAUGGAGGCACUCUCCACCUGAGAACCCCCUGCUACACCUGCCUGGGAUUCAGAAGCAAGAAAUACACACUGGAAAAAAAAGAUGGCAUUGUCAAAAACUGGUGCUGCUCAAACUGGAUGGCUGCAUAAUAGAAAAAUGCAAAUAGAUUCAUGCUUAUCACUUGCGCAAGCUCAACUCCAAGUGGAUCAGAGAUCUCAAAACAAGAUAUGCUGAGCCUGAUAGAAGAAAAGUGGGGAAUAGUUUUGAAUCAUCGGCACAGAAUUACAUGUGUCUGUGUUGUCUCCCCAGAGGCAGAGACGGAGAUUGACUGAACCACCAUUCAGAUGGUGCUAUUAAAUUCCAGGAGGUACUUCUGGUGGUGAGUUCUCCAUCACCACUCAGCAUUCCUAGCCAUCAGUCACUGGUGAACGAGGAGAGAGAGGGUGGGGAGAGGGGACCUGACAUACCACAUUCUGUUCAGCUCAUGACUUAGAGCUGAACAGCAGCGUGUGCUGGUACAGGGGCAGAUGAUCUGAUUCUGGCACUGGGAAUCUGUGUUUUAGGCAUCACUUUUAUAAUUUAAGUAAAACUGAGGAUUCAAAAA
rnacentral:lncRNA from 1 species